rnacentral:rRNA from 1 species
UACGUAGGGCGCAAGCGUUGUCCGGAAUUAUUGGGCGUAAAGAGCUCGUAGGCGGCUUGUCACGUCGAUUGUGAAAGCCCGAGGCUUAACCUCGGGUCUGCAGUCGAUACGGGCUAGCUAGAGUGUGGUAGGGGAGAUCGGAAUUCCUGGUGUAGCGGUGAAAUGCGCAGAUAUUACCAGGAACACCAAUGGCGAAGGCAGCUUGCUGGGCUACUCCUGACACUGAGGUACGAAAGCGUGGGGAGCGAACAGG